rnacentral:rRNA from 1 species
CUCAUGGAGAGCAGUGACAAUCCGUUCGGCGCAGGCAAUCAGCAGGAAAGACUAGCGCGAGCUAGAAUCCUCAGAGACUACACGCCAGACUCCAAACAUGGAGAUGAUAUAGUCCGACCUGCAUGGCGACAUGCAGAGCUUGACGGAAACGCUCAAGCCCAUCGCAAGAUGAGUAACAAUCGAGAACGGUCCUAAGGUUCUCCGCGAGCCUUAGUAAAACUUGGCUAUAUGCUGGGAAGUCUGAGUAUCCUGCGCUACGUGAGAGGAGGUGAUUCAUGUUCACCAAACUUUUGACCGAUACUCCUCGCCCGCCAAAUUUGCUCAACGGCAACGUUGAGCCGAAGGGCGAGGGUUAUCGAGAAAGCCUCUUACGUGAAAAUGCGACAGGUGCAGAUAAUCAGCAGGAAAGGCUAAAAACAGUCGGAUGGAUCGUAGGCUUUGUUGACGGAGAAGGUUGCUUCUCAGUAACCAUUCAGAAAGCAACAACGGCUACGGGUUGGCAAGUCUUCCCUGAGUUCGUAGUGACUCAAGGGGAGAAAAGCUUGUCAGCACUACGUGACCUGCAAGAGUUCUUCGGGUGCGGAAAGAUUUUCGUCAAUCGCCGCCACGACAAUCACAGGGAACAUCUUUAUCGUUUCUGUGUGCGUUCAGUAGCGAAUUUGAGAGACAAAAUCAUUCCGUUCUUUCGAGAGAAUCAACUGAGGACGGCGAAGCGAAUGGACUUUGAGAAGUUCGCACGCAUCCUUGAGUUGAUGGACGAGAGAAGGCAUCUGAACUCUGAAGGGCUUGUGGAGAUUGCGAACAUCGCCCAAACGAUGAAUCGCAAGAAGCCAUCCAGGUUUUUAGAAUCCUCAGAGACUACACGCCAGGCACCUGCAACACAGGUGAAGAUAUAGUCCGAGCUGCAUGGCGACAUGCAGAGGUUGGCAGAAAUGACCAACCCCUCGACGAAAGUUGAGAGCAACAAGUCUGAGCGAAAUUCCUUGUCGGGUAAGUUCCGACCUGCACGAAUGGCGUAACGAUCUGGGAGCUGUCUUAACGAGUGGCACAGCGAACUUGUAGUACCGGUGAAGAUGCCGGUUUCCCGCAUCUAGACGGAAAGACCCCGUGCACCUUUACUACAACUUGAUAGUGAGUGCGGGCGCACGCUGCGCAGGAUAGGUGGGAGGCUUUGAACCCGUGGUCUCGGCUGCGGGGGAGCCAACGGUGAGAUACCACCCUGUGUGCGUCUGCGUUCUAACCUAGCCCCGUCAUCCGGGGCAGGGACACUAUCAGGCGGGUAGUUUGACUGGGGCGGUCGCCUCCUAAAGAGUAACGGAGGCGCUCGAAGGUUGGCUCAGGCUGUUUGGAAAUCAGCCGUAGAGUGUAAACGCAUAAGCCAGCCUGACUGUGAGACACACACGUCGAGCAGGGACGAAAGUCGGAGUUAGUGAUCCGGCGGUUCUGUAUGGAAGGGCCGUCGCUCAACGGAUAAAAGGUACGCCGGGGAUAACAGGCUGAUCCUACCCAAGCGUCCACAGCGACGGUAGGGUUUGGCACCUCGAUGUCGGCUCAUCGCAUCCUGGGGGUGCAGAAGCUCCCAAGGGUUCGGCUGUUCGCCGAUUAAAGCGGUACGUGAGCUGGGUUUAGAACGUCGCGAGACAGUUCGGUCCCUAUCUGGUGUGGGCGCAGCAGGUUUGAGGGAAUCUGUCCUUAGUACGAGAGGACCGGGAUGGAUCCACCUCUAGUGUACGAGUUAUCCCGCCAGGGGUAGCGCUCGGUAGCUACGUGGAGCAUGGAUAAACGCUGAAUGCAUCUAAGCGUGAAGCCAGACCCGAGAUGAGACCUGCCAGUGAGACUCGUGGUAGACCACCACGUUGAUAGGCUGGGUGUGAAAGCGUGGCAACACGUUCAGCUAACCAGUACUAAUCAGUCCCAAGGCUUGACCGU